UUGAUCUGAUAAAGAAUGACAUCAGAGAUGGCUAAGCGUGUGUGAAUUGCCUCCUCAGUCCAGAGUCAAAAUCAAGGUAGUUUGGGAAAGAUGUGAGCUCUGCUCCAACACCUUUCUCUGAGUUUCCCCAAAUGGAAAUAUUUUUCUUAAAAAUACAGAUGUUAAUGUACAGAGACAACUGGAUAUUUGCUUACCCUUUAUCUUUGGGUUAGAACUGUCCAACUGAAUAGCCGUGAACUUUCUUUUUAUUGUUAUUCAGACUUACAAAGUUCUGCUUUCAAAUCAUUGUUUGUUCCAUUGUACAGAAAUUACCAGCUAUCUAGUGGAUUGUAAAUUAUUACAUCUUUCCUUCAGUUACUAAGUAGGUUUUUAACACUUUUGCAUAGGCUAUAGGUGCACUGCAUAAGAAAACUAAACAUAUAUAAUCAUUGCCAUCUGUUUCCCUGUCCCCACAUAUCAUUUCUAAGCUGGAAUGUGAGAGGCAUUAUCCACUCAGAAGAGCUGUUUCUUCAGGAGAAGUUUACAAUAUAAGUUAAGGAAAAACGUCAAGCUGGUACCUUUUUUUAAACUCGGAUUUUUUUUCUCUUUGCCCCUCCCCCACUUUUGUGCAUUCUUUCUCUCUCUCUCUCUCUCUGUUUCUCAAAAAUAAACACUAAAAAAUAAAUAAAUAGAUAAAAUUAAGUUAGAUUUUUUAAAUGCUUACUCUUAUUGAUUUGUAAUGUUUAUUGCUGAUUAGUUUUAUGUAAAGGUGUGUGUGUGUGUGUGUGUUUUGAUUGGGUAAUUUGGAUGAAUGUUGUAAAGGGAGGAAGAUUAAUCAAAAUUGUGUGAUUAUUUUCAUAGCUGCAUAGUCUGAAAGGAUAAAGUUUGGUACAAAUAUGUAUAUAUAAAUAGUUAUUUUCCUGAGGGAGUAUAGUGGACUUUAUUACCAAAAUAAGAGUAUGUGAAUUAGUUUUCUCUUCUGUUUUUAUACUGGUGACAUUGAGUGGGAGAUGAUAUGUAAAUUCACAGUACAACCAGUUAUGAACAUCCAACUUGUGAGUGCUUUCUGCAUUUAUUGACUGUUUAUAUAUUUUACCCACCCCAAAGCCACCCAAUCCCACUCCCCCAAUACCAGUUCACUCUGAAUUAAUAGCACCACUUGGUGGCCAAAGCUAGGAAUUGUGUAAAACACCAACAUUUCCUCCCCACCAGCAUAUUCUCCCUAAAUAGACACUUCUAAUCUGAGAUUUGAUGGACUUGAUCAUAGCUCUAUCUGUUGUGCUUUUGAAGGAUCUACCUCCAUAAGGAAAAGUUUAAAAAUAAUUUUUUUAAUUUCAAAGUGAGUUUAUUAUGCAUUUCAAUGCUUUAAAAACUAGCAAUAGUUAUAUAUUGCAUGUAAAUAACUGCCCACAGAAAUAAAUUAUUAGCCAUAAAUGUUUUAAUUUCUUAUGAGAAUAAAAUUGGAGGUAAAAUUUUAAACUUUUAAUACCACUUGUUUUAAUUCAAGUGCUUAUUUUGAAUCUAAUUAAAAGAUUAGUAAAAUUAUGCUGAACACUGCAAAAUUGUCAACGUUGACUAGGUAGCUAUUUUGCUAAAUUCUGAAAUAUUAAUAUUUAUUUAUUUGGUUAUUUAUAAAAUAAAAUUUAUUUAUUCCAAUAAUACCAACAGAAUAUUGUGAGGACCAAACAGACUUGGAGUUCUUAUGACUUUGGGUGAGAAUGUACAUUAAGUGUGUUAGAUGUGAUUGCUCUGACCCUUUAUAAGUAAGUUGUAUCUUUGGAGAGAAAGGGAGAGGAUAUAUAAUACAACAGAAGGACAUAUAGCUAACUGCUGGAGAUUGGCCUGUAAUAUUUAUGUAAGAAUCUGAAAGGGACUUUUGGGGUAGCAUGAUGCUCUUCAAUCUAAGAAGUAUCUAAAUAUUUCUAUCAUGAUAAAGAGGGGACUUGAACAUAUCCUGGGGAUUAAGUUGAUGAAAAGUCUGAAAAUAACUUCAUCUUUGGGAAUUCUAGAGAUUCUGGGAGUUACACAUUAGAUUUUUAUUUUCUUUGAAUUUCUGACCGAAGAUACUGCUAUUAGUAAGAGAAUCUUUGAAAUAGAUUUAACGGAAUAUGUAAAACCUUGGAAAAGGGAACAUCUCUCAUAGAGGGUUUGCAUUUGAGUUGAUCCUGUAAGAAAAGGAAAAUGGGUAAUAGGCAGUUGAUGGGCCUCCAUACUUGAGGCAAAUGAAAAGGUUAAAAUGAUGAUAGGAUGCAUGUGGUUGACUAGUCCAGUAAAAUGGAUAUGUAAAUAUAGAGAUUUCUUGUUCAAUGUAGCUAACAUCUUAAGAUUUGCACCAAAUUUCCCAAUGUGUUUACUUGUAUGGGUAGGCCUUUCUGGUGUGUGCAUAGGCAGUCAGGAAAACGGUGAGACUCUGUCAAGGAGAAAUCACCAUUCCUUGCUCCAUUAAUAACCCUAGGACUCAGAGAGUCAGAGAGGACCCUAAAGCUUGAACAAAGAAUGUGGCCCCUUUAUGUGUGUGUGUAGAGAGAGAGUGAGAAAGAGAGAGAGAGUAUACAGCAAUAGCCAUAUAACAAUAGCAACCACCAUUACAUUGAUUAAAUAACAUUAUACACCAGGCACUAUUCUGAGUGUAUUACGUAUAUUAAUUCACUUAUCUUCACAGAACCCCCCCUGAAGUAGCGCCCCUAUUUCUAUUUUACAAAUGAGGAAACUGAGGCAUGGGGAGAUUAAGUAAUUUAUCCAAGUUCUCAUAGCUCUUCAAGAGCAGAGCUUAAAUUGAAUACUCCCUGAUAAUCCAGUGCGAGGCAGAGUAUUCUUGUUUGGCCAUUUUCAUUGAAGGAUACCUCAAAUGCUCAAAUAGAAUCAGAAUAGCUUAUAGUUAGCCAAGAAGUGGACAGGUCUUUCCCUGGAAUCAUGUUUCUAGAAGACAGUAUACACCAGCCUAUAAUUCAAGGAUCACAAGGAUAUAUCUGCAUAGGAAGAAAGGCUGAUUUCCCCUUGACAUCCCUUGAUGUACUGCUCUGAGAUCAUUGUUAAGUUCUAGUGGCCUAUAUUGGAAGAACAAACAAAAUCCCCACUACAAAUGGAUGUACUAAGUGAACAGAAUGGAUUUUAUUUUUAUCAGAGAUUUGAAGGUUUGCUUUUUGCUUUGUUUUGUUUAUGCCAUUUUGCUUAUCAGAAUCAUUGAGAAAAAGCUUUGUCAAGGUUGGCCUGAGUUCUAAAUGAAGGGCCUGUUCUGGUAAGAUUGGUUACCUGUGUGUGUCAGGUGGGGUGGCUAAGAGUGGUGGUUGACAAGAUAGACUGCCUGGAUUUGAGGCCUAGUUUUACCACUAGCUAGCACUAAGUUAUAUAACCUCAUUAAAUAUUUGAUGCUAUCAUCAUCGUCAUAAUUAUCAUUAUUAUUCCCAGCCCAUGAGAAAGUUACUGGUUGUCACUGAUCUGAUAAGGGAGAUAUAUUACAUAGAGUAGUUUCUGUGAGACAUUGUUAUUCUCAGGGCUUCAGGAAACAGCACUGUGCAUACAAGUCCAUUGUGAAUGCCUCUUGUAUAGCCUGACGAAGAGAAUGGCUCCACUGAGAAUAUUAAGGGGCAUUGGAUAAGUUGGUAUAUUGCUGAAAUCCACACUAGUCAUCUGGCCUGGUCUUGAAAAACAGCAUUGAUUACAUUUGAUUCAAAGUGUUCUGUAAUUUUUGAGUGCUGCUGGAGAUGGUUCUCAGUGUCCCAUUUUGAUUAGGCUUCUGUGUUCUAUGACUGAAUGUGGCCAUAGGCUAGAGAGGGAUAGGUUAAAUUCCCUUCUGCUCUCCCUCAAUGAAGAAAGAUAUUUAAGAAGGUACAUAAGGAAGGAUAUAUCCCAGUGUUACUUGGUUAUCUGAACCCAAGCAUGAUUAAAGAAGGUAUAGAGUAGAAGAGGAAGUUACUGUCCAGACAGUGCAUUGGGGGUUGGGGGUCCGAUCAUCCCUUACUGGAAACUGGAGGCACUGAAGACACCAUGGGUAUGAUUUUUAAGGACGUUAAAACACUUUAAGGAACACAGGAGGGGGUUACCCAAAAGAGUAGCUGACUGACUGCAUAAUACAUCUUUGGAGAAACUCUUUAUUAAAAGGAGCCUAUUUGGAGAAUAUCUACGUGGUUUGUCCUUCUAUAUUUUAAAAAUGAUACAUAUUUAAUUUCCCACAUUCUCAACAGAAUCUAAUCUCAUUCUCACCUGGCAUUUAGUAAAUCACCUAUUUCAUCUGCAUUGCCAAUUUCAUAAGCUGAUUUUAAAGAUGCUCUGCUUUUAAUAUCAAAAUCUCUUUAUGUAAAAAAUGAUGAAAACUUACAUCCUCAGUGAAGGUUUUUAUGUUAUAAAUAUUUAGUUUUUCUUGUUGAGGACUUUGUUUUAAAUUAUAUCCACUUUUACUUCAAAUUGUCAUUUUCAUUUUUUUCUUUGUUUUAAUAACUAGUAAACUUUUAAAUGUGUUCUAGUAGUUCAUAAUUUUCUAUCUUAAAAUUUACCUUCUUUAGUCUUUGAUAUUAAGAAGUAUUCCAUGAUCUCCUUUGUUCUUAAAUCUCUAACACCCUGGAGAUAACUAGACUCUUGUUACCUGGAGCACAGCCACAUUGUUAUGUCCUUGUUAUGGCUGUCCUUUGUAUGCAGCAGUGACACUGAUGACCCAGCAGGGCAUCCAGUUUGUUGUUCCAGCUGCAGAAAUGAGUUUGUACUGAUUCACCCACAUUUUUUUACCUAUCCUGCUUAAUACCAAAGACAUACUAAUUAUACUAACUGUAAAAUUUGUUAUGACUACCAAAGAUUUAAAAUAUAAUUUGUGUUGGGGCGCCUGGGUGGCUCAAUCGGUUGAGCAUCCGACUUCGGCUCCGGUCAUGAUCUCACGGUCCGUGAGUUCGAGCCCCGCGUCGGGCUCUGUGCCGACAGCUCAGAGCCUGGAGCCUGUUUUGGAUUCUGUGUCUCCCUCUCUCUCUGACCCUCCCCCGUUCAUGCUCUGUCUCAAAAAAAUAAAUAAAGGUUAAAAAAAAAUUUAGUAAAAUAUAAUUUGUGAGUGUGGAGUUGUUUAGAAAUUUACCCUCACUGUAAUUAUUCCUGAUUAUGUGUCUCUCGGCAUUAGACUAUGAGCCUUUUGAGGAGAGGGACCACAUCUUGGUCAUCUCUGUAUCUGCAUUUCCUGGCACAGUGCUGCACAUCCCACAUUGGCACAUGCCAUCACCCUCUUCAUUAUCAUCUAGCUAGCAUUUUUAGUCUUGGGUACUGUGCUAAGGACUUUAUGUAGAUUUUUUUCAUUUAAUGCCUCUAACAACCACAUGAGAUAAGCAAUUUGAUUACCCUGGUGGAAGUGAAGACUAAGGGGCACCUGGGUGGCUCAGUUGUGUAAGCUUCCAACUCUGGACUUUGGUUCAGGUCAUGAUCCCAGGGUUGUGAGAUGGAGCCCUGCAUUGGGCUGUAUACUGAGCAUGGAACCUAGUUAAGAUUCUCUGCUGCCCCAUCCCCCACCUUCUGCCCCACUCACCUGCUUAUGCGCUCUCUCUCUCUCUCUCUCUCUCUCUCU